GGUGAUAUAGCUCAGUUGGUAGAGCGUUUGCCUACUUUUUAGGAAAGUAUGGGAUUAAUCCCCAUCAUCACAU
rnacentral:tRNA from 1 species